CAUGCAAUGGUGGGGUCCCUCAGCCUGGCCUAUCAAUCCGGAACCCUCUUGCAAUCUGGAACCCCUCGAGGGAGGUCGGACUGCUGGUUUCGGCCCAAUCCCCGCAGGCCAGGCUGAGGGACUCCACCGGUGCAUG
rnacentral:pre_miRNA from 1 species